GGCGGACCGACCUCCCUCCCCCAGCACCUGGGUUCGAGGAGCUUUGGUGUCAAGCUCUGGGAAAAGUCCCUCCGCUUUGCCCCGCCCCAGUUGUGUGGCCCGGGACAAGUCAGCCUGUGACCUGUUUCCUCACAAGAGGGACGGAAAGUGGCCUUCUGGCGCCCCCUGCCGGGCGAUCGCCUCGGCGAGGGCGGCAGGUGAGCCGCCCCAAACCACGCGAGGAGACUCCAAGGAACAGAAGCAUAAACCCAGCAAGACACCUUCAGGGGACGGGGAAGGCCAGAGUAGCUCUAGUGGAAAUCAGCUGUGCCCCCUCCCCGCCCCACACCGGUCAACUCUGGAGACUGAUAAGCCGUAUCCCCACCCAUAAAUAUAACUGUUCUCCGGCCAGCAGCCACACAUCUCCCAGUCCCCUGACCAAAACAACUAUUCACUGAGCACUCACUAGGUUCAAGGACCACCGGGAGGGCUAGCUGCGAGCACCGGUCCCCCAUCCCUUCCCCUCUCUUCGACCCUGGGCUGACUUCCUUUGCACAGGUCAGGAGUGGCAAGGACCCCUGGAGCAGUUGAGCAGCAGGCAGGCCCACGCUGGGGCAUGGCCAAGUGAGCGAGCAGGGUCCUCCCAGCUGGGGCGGGACCUCUGGUAGUUUCCUCAGAGAGGGGCUGGCAGGACUCAGGAUCUUCUUGCCUCUUCCCCACCUGGAGAUUCCCAAUUUCAAGUUCGCAGCAAAGAUGAGGUAAAACUUUACUUCAGGGAGGAAACUGCCAACCUGGCAGUUCCAUACAAGCCAGGGUCGUUUUCAGCGGACGCAAGACGCGGCCUGACCACCAGAGGGCAGCAGCGACCGCCUGUGGAAGCCUCAAGCGAGCCGGAGCUGGGAAGAGGCGGUAAAGGCCCACGGCAGGUAAAGACCCCCGCCCCCUGAGCCAGAAGGAUUCCAUCCAAAGGGGACAGGGGACACCCUCGGGCGGCAGGACGGUUACGUGAGGAUCAGGAGGGUUGAAUGGGCUCAUCAGCGGCAGAGCUGAAGGUAAACCUCAGGUCUGCUGUAAGUAUGGAAGAGGAGGCCUGUCAACUUUUACAAAGAGCCUUGCCCUGUCCCCCAACCCCCGGGAGAGGAAGACAGGUGCCAGGUGCAGUGAGGUGCACCCACGUUCCUCAAGCAAAGAACAAGAUGGACCAAACCCAGCUUAUCUGGUACUGGAGAGACCAACGCAUGGCAGCUGAGAGCCAAGGAGCCAAGACACCACCAGGGUAACUUUCAACCACACGGCUUCCCCAGCUCCCGGCAUGGAAGCCAGCAGACAGCUGGCAUGGGAGGGAGCCCAAAAUAACCCAGACAGCUGGGACCACGGGGUGCCAUGGACACAGGCGCUGGGCUCUAAGUCAAGACACCUGGAGCCCUGUCCUGGCUGCUGCCGGUGACCUUGUGACCUUGGGUGAAUCACGUAUACUCUCAGAGGGUGGGUGACCCCAAAUCCUGACUGAUCAAGGAACAGCCUGUGGAGCUGGGGGCGGGCCACCAUCCUGACUCAAUACAAGCGGAAGAAUGAUGCUGGCUCUCUUCCCAGGGGAGCUAGUCUUCCCCUUUGCCCUGAGGCUUUGCCACGUGCUCUGGGGUAGGUCUGUGGGGGAGGAGCUCGCAAGCAGCCCAGCCCCCACUCCCAGCAGCCACAUCGGAAAGGAUGCCAACAGUGUGAAGCCUGAAUGUGAGGCCGGCCCCUUUAAUCGCACUUAAUCUUCCCACCACCCUUUUCAGCAUGCAUCGUUAUCGUUUUACACAGGAGACUCGCCCAAGGUCACCAGCACAGUGCACAGUCAAGCCCAUGGCCACCCGACUUAGAGCCUCCCUUGAUUAAGCCCCAAGAUGCCCCCAACAGAAAUUUCAGAGUUGAGCCCUACAGCUCCCCCAGUCCUCAGUUUAACCUUCACACUAGGGGGCAGGAGAUAAAAGUGAGCAGGGCUGAUCUGCGGCCCAAAGCCCAAACGGGGGAAAGGCAGUGUGAUCAGUGGCACCUGGGCCCAAAUGGUUCAUCAAAGUCAUCACAUACUAAAGAACACAUGGGGGAAGGGUCAGAGAUCAAGGGCCGCACUGUCUCCAGCUGGGGAGCUUCCUGGAGUCAGGAUGGAAAAGUGAGCAGCUUGUUAGGAGCUGCCAGUAUUACGAAGCCACCUAUUCUGCCGAGCACCGAGCUCGCAUCCUCUUCACGACACCCCAGGUGUUACCUAGUCCAAAAGUUCUCAAAACGUGUCCCACAUGACAGGAGGAGUACCACCUGGGAAACUCGUCAGGCCCCACCUACCGAAUCAAACUGGAGGACUGGCCCGAAUCGGUUCCCAUGGGUGAUUUGGCUGCACGCUCCAGUCUGAGAAUCACUGACCGAGGGCCACGUAUGCGAUGGGCUCAGAGACUGUAGCGCGUACCAGGUGACUGCAGAAGAGGCUGGCCCGGAUGACAGGCCCUGUGUUUCACCUCCCUAGCAGCCAGACAUCGGAGUGGAAGAGGCCAGCUCAGUCACCCCAGACACCCUCACUGGGGACAGGAAGGGACGGCUCUGCUUGGGCC